rnacentral:lncRNA from 1 species
GAGCUAAUGAUGAGAAAUACAAUUAUCUUAGCGGAUUUCAGUGAGAUUUCUUUGAAUCAAUGAUCUGAUUGUUACACACACUGAAGCUCUUAAUAAUUUUUUUUUUUAAAUUAAAUGGGAUGUAAAUAAUAAUAAUAAUAGCACUGUUGAGGUAAAACACAUGAGGAUGUGUUAAGGGAAGUGGACAAGACGAUUUAAACCGUUUUGCCGUGAUCCCCAUUUUAAACGACUUCUCCUUCCACUGAGCUUU